UACGGGGGGGGCAAGCGUUGUUCGGAAUUACUGGGCGUAAAGGGCUCGUAGGUGGCCAACUAAGUCAGACGUGAAAUCCCUCGGCUUAACCGGGGAACUGCGUCUGAUACUGGAUGGCUUGAGUUUGGGAGAGGGACGCGGAAUUCCAGGUGGUAGCGGUGAAAUGCGUAGAUAUCUGGAGGAACACCGGUGGCGAAGGCG
rnacentral:rRNA from 1 species